rnacentral:rRNA from 1 species
GACGAACGCUGGCGGCGUGCUUAACACAUGCAAGUCGAACGGUAAGGCACUUCGGGGUACACGAGUGGCGAACGGGUGAGUAACACGUGGGUGAUCUGCCCUGCACUUCGGGAUAAGCCUGGGAAAAUGGGUCUAAUACCGGAUAGGACCAUUGCCUGCAUGGGUGGUGGUGGAAAGCCUUUGCGGUGUGGGAUGGGCCCGCGGGCUAUCAGCGUGUUGGUGGGGUGAUGGCCUACCAAGGCGACGACGGGUAGGCGGCCUGAAAAGGUGACCGGCCACACUGGUACUGGGAUACGGCCCAGACUGCUACGGGCGGCAGCAGUGGGGAAUAUUGCACACUGGGCGCAAGCCUGAUGCAGCGACGCCGCGUGAGGGAUGACGGCCUUCGGGUUGUAAACCUCUUUCAGCAUCGACGAAGCGCAAGUGACGGUAGGUGCAGAAGAAGGACCGGCCAACUACGUGCCAGCAGCCGCCGCGG